UACGUAGGGUGCGAGCGUUGUCCGGAAUUAUUGGGCGUAAAGAGCUCGUAGGCGGUUUUGUUGCGUCGGCCGUGAAAACCUGCAGCUUAACUGUGGGCCUGCGGCCGAUACGGGGCAGACUUGAGUUCGGUAGGGGGAGACUGGAAUUCCUGGUGUAGCGGUGAAAUGCGCAGAUAUCAGGGGGGAACACCGGUGGCGAAGGCGGGUCUCUGGGCCGAUACUGGACGCUAGGAGCGAAAC
rnacentral:rRNA from 1 species